rnacentral:rRNA from 1 species
AGUGAACGCUGGCGGUAGGCCUAACACAUGCAAGUCGAACGGCAGCACAGUAAGAGCUUGCUCUUACGGGUGGCGAGUGGCGGACGGGUGAGGAAUACAUCGGAAUCUACUUUUUCGUGGGGGAUAACGUAGGGAAACUUACGCUAAUACCGCAUACGACCUACGGGUGAAAGCAGGGGAUCUUCGGACCUUGCGCGAUUGAAUGAGCCGAUGUCGGAUUAGCUAGUUGGCGGGGUAAAGGCCCACCAAGGCGACGAUCCGUAGCUGGUCAGAGAGGAUGAUCAGCCACACUGGAACUGAGACACGGUCCAGACUCCUACGGGAGGCAGCAGUGGGGAAUAUUGGACACUGGGCGCAAGCCUGAUCCAGCCGUACCGCGUGGGUGAAGAAGGCCUUCGGGUUGUAAAGCCCUUUUGUUGGGAAAGAAAAGCAGCAGGUUAAUACCCCGCUGUUCUGACGGUACCCAAAGAAUAAGCACCGGCUAACUUCGUG